rnacentral:siRNA from 1 species
GGGAGAGUGAUCGACAGCCUCCA